rnacentral:rRNA from 1 species
AGCUCCAAUAGCGUAUAUUAAAGUUGUUGCAGUUAAAAAGCUCGUAGUUGGACCUUUGGGUGGGGACGGUGGUGUGCCGCAAGGCGCUACUAGCGUUGCUAGCCAGAUUGGGGGACGGGGUGGUUUUGCCGCCGCGGAAACCCGGGUUACUGUGAAGAAAUUAGAGUGUUUAAAGCAGGCGUAGGCUUGAAUAGAUCAGCAUGGAAUAACAAGUAUGGCGUCGUUCUACUUGUUGGUUUGGGGGGGAAGGCAAUGAUUAAUAGGGCCAGUUGGGGGCAUUAGUAUUCAGUAGUCAGAGGUGAAAUUCUUGGAUUUACUGAAGACUAACUAGAGCGAAAGCAUUUGCCAAGGAUGUUUUCA